UAAUUAUUCAUUUGCAUGCGAUAUAAGCAUGAAAGGUCCAAAAUAUCUGCUAAAAUUAGUCAUGUUAUUUAUAUUCAUUAGAAGCUGAACAUGUUUGUUUACAUACCAAAGUUGAAAAACAGUCUACAGUAUUAACAUAAUUCAGAGAAAAAGCAGGAUUUGAAGCAGCCUCUAACUUGAGAGUUGACAGUAUGGAGGCUUGCAGCACCCGCAUAUACGAGGAGAUUGGAGAGACUGGUCAGUCUCCAGGUGUUACGGCCAACCCUGUUUGUACUACAGCGCAAUUACCCACAAUCCCCUCUGAUGCCACACUCACCUCUGUGUAUACUACAGCGCAAUUACCCACAAUCCCCUCUGAUGCCACACUCACCUCUGUGCAUACUACUGCUUUUGACACCACUUCUGUAUAGAAAAGGGAAACUGUAGCAUUCAAUAGUUUAUGUUAUCUCAAGAAUAAUGACAAUGCUCUCUCUCUCUUUUCCUGUCUGUCUCUCAUGACAGAGAGAGGGAGAGAGAAAGAGAAACAAACAUACAAUACAAUAAACUUACAUAGCCUAUAAGA